rnacentral:lncRNA from 1 species
GAAAAUUAAAAUACAUAUAGGUGGUAAUUAAAUACCGUAUUUACGUUUUGAAAUUAUCUCAUCUCGUUUUCCGAUGAGUUUUGUUUGAUAAUAAGUUAUAAAAUAAUACCAAAAAAACUAUUAUAUUUUAAUAUCUAUCAUCUAAAUAUCCAUUUAAGUAGAUACACUUAUUAUCUCGAAAAUCAUUAACUUAUUCCGAAAUUUGUUUUCAAGAAUAUUUAAGAAAUGAGCUGCUCUAGGUACAAUUUUAUAUUUAUGUUAUUUUUUUUUUAAGUUUGGGUUGGAGAAGAGUAGUGGGGUAUCAUUUGUGUGGUGGUAAGGCACGCUACUUGUUGUUAAUGCACCAUGACGCUCCGCCAACCCAAAAUUAAAAGUGGAAUUUCUCGUCAACGGAUCGACAAAAAUUAAAAUUGUCAACACUAAAGUUUGUUUUAACUAAUACUCAGUUUAUGGACUUUUUAAUAUAUAGGUUUCCAUUUAAAAAUCAAAAAAGUAGGUAGUGGUUUCACCCCCAAAAAUAAGGGUGACAAAAAUAACAUGAGUAUGAAAUUGUACCUUGUUUCGUAAAUAUUCUAGAAAACAAAUUCCGGAAAAAGUUAAUACUUUUCAAAAUAAUGAGUGUAUCCACUUAUAAAUGAAUCGCCCGGUAUACACUGUUCUUCUGUAAACUAAACAAAAUAAUAUUAAAAAUCAUGAGAUUAAUAUAAAUAAGAAUUUCAAACAUCAACAUUUCCAAAUUAAUAAUAAACUCUAUAUAGUGGUUUUCAUCAUUUUUUCGAAAAUAAUGAAAUAAAUUAUUGUUUUUUAAAAAUGUUUUACCGAAACAUAAAAAUUUAACUAAAAUAUGAAUUUUUUUAGUUCUUGUCUCUUUGAGUCGUAUAAAAAAAAAAAAAAAAAAUGGACCAUCUUCGUUACAUCAGGAGUUAUCGCAAUGGGUAAAUUAUCAUUGCGAAACACUCUGAAUAUUGUCCGAAUUUUUUUACCGCUGAGUCUCGAAUCGAUAUACGGUCGAUUAUCCUCUCAGUUGUACAUUUAUAAUAUUAUUAUGUUGACUGUGAUCGAUAUUCAUCUGGCCGUGAUGCCCCCCGACGUUUUGAAUUAACGAACCGGUGAUGUCAAAAUCGGUGACAACCGAAACAAAGUGCAAAGCUAUUAUUGAAAUGUCAAGUUUCGGAUUAUAAAAAAAAAAAAAUAAUAAUAAUAAUAAUAAUAAUAAAAAAGAGCAUCGAUCCGUUUGAUUUGACUGUGACAACAGAGGAUAAAAUAAAAAUCUCUGUUAGUGCAGUACUCGUAUAAUAUAACAGAUUGAGAACAAAAUUUUUAAAGCCAAAUCCCGUUGAUAUCCGUUGACCACCGGCCGUUCGAAUGACGGCUACUUAAUGUUUUUUUGAAAUAUUACGCUAUAGAAUGUAUUUUAAGUUUGCCUACGCGGACAAAUACGCAAGUGAACUAUCGAGAAACGGUUUAAACUGUUUUUCGAUUUGAUAAUAAUUAUUCAUCAUUACGAGUACCGUCAAUAAUGGUUAUCUCUGGAUUUCCGUCGGGCAGUGCACAUCGCAAUGUAUUUUCGACGAAUUUGCCUUUGAAUUUUCUUGCACGCCAGACAAUCAGACGCAGUUUUCAAGUUCAACGUCUCUCAUUUUCUCCGCACGACUGCAAAAUCUUAAACAAGCCCUUGCAUUUGAAAGUGGGGCGCCUAAAAAAACUAUUCAGAUUUCAGAUAGCUAACAUU